AUUAAUUCGAUGCAACGCGAAAAACCUUACCUACCCUUGACAUGGCAGGAAUCCCUGAGAGAUUGGGGAGUGCUCGAAAGAGAACCUGCACACAGGUGCUGCAUGGCUGUCGUCAGCUCGUGUCGUGAGAUGUUGGGUUAAGUCCCGCAACGAGCGCAACCCUUGUCAUUAGUUGCUACGAAAGGGCACUCUAAUGAGACUGCCGGUGACAAACCGGAGGAAGGUGGGGAUGACGUCAAGUCCUCAUGGCCCUUAUGGGUAGGGCUUCACACGUCAUACAAUGGUACAUACAGAGGGCUGCCAACCCGCGAGGGGGAGCUAAUCCCAGAAAGUGUAUCGUAGUCCGGAUUGUAGUCUGCAACUCGACUGCAUGAAGUUGGAAUCGCUAGUAAUCGCGGAUCAGCAUGCCG
rnacentral:rRNA from 1 species